rnacentral:rRNA from 1 species
AGAGUUUGAUCCUGGCUCAGGGUUAACGCUGGCGGCGCGCAUAACACAUGCAAGUCGAGCGAGGGCUCUUCUCCCGCAAGGGAGGGGAGUUCCUAGCGGCGAACGGGUGAGUACCACGUGGGCAACCUUUCCUAUCGCGGGGGAUAACAGCGGGAAACCGCUGCUAAUACCGCAUGUCGUCAUCGGUCGCAUGGCCGGUGAAAAAAGCAGCAAUGCACGAUGGGGUGGGCCCGCGGCCUAUCAGCUAGUCGGUGGGGUAACGGCCUACCGAGGCGAUGACGGGUAGCUGGUCUGAGAGGACGACCAGCCACACGGGGACUGAGACACGGCCCCGACUCCUACGGGAGGCAGCAGUGAGGAAUCUUCCGCAAUGGGCGAAAGCCUGACGGAGCGACGCCGCGUGUGGGAUGAAGUCCUUCGGGAUGUAAACCACUGUUGGAGGGGAAGACUUCGACGGUACCCUCCGAGAAAGCCCCGGCUAACUACGUGCCAGCAGCCGCGGUAAUACGUAGGGGCUAGCGUUAUCCAGAAUUACUGGGCGUAAAGCGC